UAUAUAUAUAUAUAUAUAUAUAUAUAUAGGAAAAAGAAAAAAAAGAGGACAUAAAAUUGACUUCCAUCUUUUGCACAGUAUUCUGCAUAAAAGACAUUUUACAUUCUUUUUCUCAACCAUCUCUAUCUAGUGUCUCUAUUUUACAUAUUGCCUAUUAUUCACAUACUCAGUUGCUUUGCAGACCUUUUCCUCACUCAUUUUAGUUAGAUAAUCACCUUAUAUUCCUCUUCUUUCAAAUAGUUUUUAACCAAUUCCCAGUCUUGUCUGUUUUUUGGGCCUGCCUUGGUUGUUCUUUAAAAGAUAUGUUAGCUUAUCCAUAUUCAUUAUUUCCCAGAUCUUGUUUAUCCAAUACCUUGUUUCCGACUUUUCUUUCUCUUUCCAGUAUUUGGCAAAAGUCAUUCUUGCAGCGGUAGUGAGAUAAUUAAAUAGAAUUUCCUUAUUUCUGUCUUUUUCUAUAUUUAACAUCCCUAAGAGGAAAUAUUUUGGGAGCUGUACCAAUUGAUCUACUCACAUUGGCAUGUUUUUGAACUGCUAGAUUGGCAGAAGCUGGGGCUAACAGCGGGAGCUCACUCCGCUCCCAGGACUCGAACCUGCGACCUUUCAGUCUUAGUAAAUAUAACAUGAGAAAACGAGCAUAAACACCAAGGACCCAUCUGGAUGCAUCUACAUUGUAGAACUGAUGCAGUUCGAUGCCACUUUGAUGCAAAAAAGCAAACCACAAAUGGAACAAUACAAGGAACCGUUGUUUUUUUUUAAAAGUUUUGGAAACUUUUAUUAUUAAGAAAUGUCACCCCAAUAAAGGAGGCUUGUUUUAAAACAGUACAAAAUAUAAUUAACUUUUUUCAAACCAAUACAAAAAAAAAUGAAAA